rnacentral:lncRNA from 1 species
CCCGGGCUACGGGGCUCCGGGGCGUCUGGCCUGGUUGGGACUGAGCCCAUCCAGGGACUGGGACUCUGGGAUUCUGGUGUAGGUGGAUCCGGGGCAGGCUCAGGACCAAGUCCCUCUCCUUCCACCAAGGAGCGCCCAGAGGCCGGCGGGAGCUCCAGGUUCACCUCCUCCUCCUCCAGGAAAUCUCACUUCCAACUGGAUGUCUGGAUGAACUACUGAAAGCUGCUGAGUGUCCUGCAGCAGCUUGACUACCACACAAAUGAAUCCACUCAAAUGUUGGCAAGUGGAGCAGAGUCCCAGGACAGGUACAGAAACACCCCCAGUUCAAGGAUCUUCACACCUGGAUUUAGGCCUACUCCUGCAACUACCCCAGAACCUGGAAUUUAUAUGUUCAACAUGGAGCCAUCCCAGCCAUGACAACAGAGAAUGUACCACUCUCACGCCAGUUAUCCAGGCAGUGACUUUCAGUGCAGCUACAGUCACCUCUGG